GUCUAUGGCCAUACCACCCUGAACGCACCCGAUCUCCUCUGAUCUCGGAAGCUAAGCAGGGUCGGGGCUGGUUAGUACUUGGAUGGGAGAAACAACAGCAAACUAGGAACC
rnacentral:rRNA from 1 species